rnacentral:rRNA from 1 species
GACGAACGCUGGCGGCGUGCCUAACACAUGCAAGUCGAGCGGAGUUAGUUUGUAGCUUGCUACAAACUAACUUAGCGGCGGACGGGUGAGUAACGCGUGGAUAACCUGCCUUUUACAGGGGGAUAACACAGGGAAACUUGUGCUAAUACCGCAUAACAUAUAGAAGUGGCAUCACUUUUAUAUCAAAGGAGCAAUUCGGUAGAAGAUGGAUCCGCGUCCGAUUAGCUAGUUGGCGGGGUAAAGGCCCACCAAGGCGACGAUCGGUAGCCGAACUGAGAGGUUGAUCGGCCACAUUGGGACUGAGACACGGCCCAGACUCCUACGGGAGGCAGCAGUGGGGAAUAUUGCGCAAUGGGGGAAACCCUGACGCAGCAACGCCGCGUGAAGGAUGAAGGCUUUCGGGUUGUAAACUUCUUUAGUCGGGGACGAAAAAAUGACGGUACCCGAAGAAUAAGCCACGGCUAACUACGUGCCAGCAGCCGCCGUAA